rnacentral:rRNA from 1 species
AUUGAACGCUGGCGGCAUGCCUUACACAUGCAAGUCGAACGGCAGCGCGGACUUCGGUCUGGCGGCGAGUGGCGAACGGGUGAGUAAUACAUCGGAACGUACCCUGUUGUGGGGGAUAACUAGUCGAAAGAUUAGCUAAUACCGCAUACGACCUGAGGGUGAAAGUGGGGGACCGCAAGGCCUCACGCAGCAGGAGCGGCCGAUGUCUGAUUAGCUAGUUGGUGGGGUAAAGGCCCACCAAGGCGACGAUCAGUAGCUGGUCUGAGAGGACGAUCAGCCACACUGGGACGGAGACACGGCCCGGACUCCUACGGGAGGCAGCAGUGGGGAAUUUUGGACAAUGGGGGCAACCCUGAUCCAGCAAUGCCGCGUGUGUGAAGAAGGCCUUCGGGUUGUAAAGCACUUUUGUCCGGAAAGAAAUCGCGCUGGUUAAUACCUGGCGUGGAUGACGGUACCGGAAGAAUAAGCACCGGCUAACUACGUGCCAGCCGCCGCCGUAA